rnacentral:rRNA from 1 species
CCUACGGGAGGCAGUAGUGGGGAAUAUUGCACAAUGGGGGAAACCCUGAUGCAGCGACGCCGCGUGAGUGAAGAAGUAUCUCGGUACGUAAAGCUCUAUCAGCAGGGAAGAAAAUGACGGUACCUGACUAAUAAGCUCCGGCUAACUACGUGCCAGCAGCCGCGGUAAUACGUAGGAGGCAAGCGUUAUCCGGAUUUACUGGGUGUAAAGGGAGCGUAGACGGCAGCACAAGUCUGUUGUGAAAUCCCGGGGCUUAAUCCCGGAACUGCUUUGGAAACUGUGCGGCUGGAGUGCAGGAGGGGUAAGCGGAAUUCCUAGUGUAGCGGUGAAAUGCGUAGAUAUUAGGAGGAACACCGAUGGCGAAGGCGGCUUACUGGACUGUAACUGACGUUGAGGCUCGAAAGCGUGGGGAGCAAACAGGAUUAGAUACCCGGGUAGUC